rnacentral:rRNA from 1 species
UACAGAGGGUGCUAGCGUUGUUCGGAAUCACUGGGCGUAAAGCGCACGUAGGCGGAUUGCUAAGUCAGGGGUGAAAUCCUGGAGCUCAACUCCAGAACUGCCUUUGAUACUGGCGAUCUCGAGUCCGGGAGAGGUGAGUGGAACUUCGAGUGUAGAGGUGAAAUUCGUAGAUAUUCGCAAGAACACCAGUGGCGAAGGCGGCUCACUGGCCCGGUACUGACGCUGAGGUGCGAAAGCGUGGGGAGCAAACAGG